rnacentral:lncRNA from 1 species
CAUAUGAAAGAAGAACAAUAUUAUUUUUAAAAGUGAAUUUUGUGACCUGAUUUCCACCAGACCUGACUUUCCCUCCUGCCCGCUUCUCAGGUUACAUGUAUUGACAUUCAGUGCUGGUGUCUUUCUAGAUCUCCCAGUCUUUCCACACUAUCCUUGGUGGCCAGUACACAAAACCGCAUCCGCAGCUGGCUCCUAAUAAACAUCAACUGGACGAACUGUGUGCCAGUGAGAAUUACGACUGAGGCUCAGUGCACGAAUGUGGCUGGAGAUGGGCACAUAGGCGAUAAAGUGCUACGGCAAAGGCCGGCGGGAAGGGAACACACGCGGCCCGUUAGCAUCUCACUUCUGUGCUCCCG